rnacentral:rRNA from 1 species
AGGUCUUACACGUCAUACAAUGGUCGGUACAGAGGGUUGCCAAGCCGCGAGGUGGAGCCAAUCCCUUAAAGCCGAUCGUAGUCCGGAUCGUAGUCUGCAACUCGACUACGUGAAGUCGGAAUCGCUAGUAAUCGCAGAUCAGCAUGCUGCGGUGAAUACGUUCCCGGGUCUU